UCUAGAGUUUGAUCCUGGCUCAGGAUGAACGCUGGCGGCGUGCUUAACACAUGCAAGUCGAACGAUGAAGCCCAGCUUGCUGGGUGGAUUAGUGGCGAACGGGUGAGUAACACGUGAGCAACCUGCCCCUGACUCUGGGAUAAGCGCUGGAAACGGCGUCUAAUACUGGAUACGAACAAGAAUCGCAUGGUUACUUGUUGGAAAGAUUUUUUGGUUGGGGAUGGGCUCGCGGCCUAUCAGCUUGUUGGUGAGGUAAUGGCUCACCAAGGCGUCGACGGGUAGCCGGCCUGAGAGGGUGACCGGCCACACUGGGACUGAGACACGGCCCAGACUCCUACGGGAGGCAGCAGUGGGGAAUAUUGCACAAUGGGCGGAAGCCUGAUGCAGCAACGCCGCGUGAGGGAUGACGGCCUUCGGGUUGUAAACCUCUUUUAGCAGGGAAGAAGCGAAAGUGACGGUACCUGCAGAAAAAGCGCCGGCUAACUACGUGCCAGCAGCCGCGGUAAUACGUAGGGCGCAAGCGUUAUCCGGAAUUAUUGGGCGUAAAGAGCUCGUAGGCGGUUUGUCGCGUCUGCUGUGAAAUCCCGAGGCUCAACCUCGGGCCUGCAGUGGGUACGGGCAGACUAGAGCGCGGUAGGGGAGAUUGGAAUUCCUGGUGUAGCGGUGGAAUGCGCAGAUAUCAGGAGGAACACCGAUGGCGAAGGCAGAUCUCUGGGCCGUAACUGACGCUGAGGAGCGAAAGGGUGGGGAGCAAACAGGCUUAGAUACCCUGGUAGUCCACCCCGUAAACGUUGGGAACUAGUUGUGGGGUCCAUUCCACGGAUUCCGUGACGCAGCUAACGCAUUAAGUCCCGCCUGGAGCCCCCAAGCCCC
rnacentral:rRNA from 1 species